rnacentral:rRNA from 1 species
UUGAAUUGAAGAGUUUGAUCAUGGCUCAGAUUGAACGCUGGCGGCAGGCUUAACACAUGCAAGUCGAACGGUAGCAGGAAGAAGCUUGCUUCUUUGCUGACGAGUGGCGGACGGGUGAGUAAUGCUUGGGAAUCUGGCUUAUGGAGGGGGAUAACUACUGGAAACGGUAGCUAAU